CAAUUGCUGUUGGACGCAGCCAGAAUGCAUUCAAAAACAUCGCAAUGCAGCUGUAGUGCAUCUGAAAAACAUCGCAACUCUGUUGACGUUUCGUUUUUGACAGAUAGCGGUGCGAUAACUGCAAAAUUGUUGCACUUAGCGGACUUGCAGUUGAAAAGCAUUGCAGUAAUACCAGCGGCGUCAUGGUCGCAAUUUUUUCCGCAGUCAAGUUCGCAGAUUGUGAACAAUCCUCGGUACUCACUUUACGUAAUUUAUGUUUAGUCCCUUACUGUCAGAGCUGUCAGAUCAGUGUAACACGCUAAAUAAAAUUUACACAAAA